rnacentral:rRNA from 1 species
AGUGAACGCUGGCGGUAGGCCUAACACAUGCAAGUCGAACGGCAGCACAGUAAGAGCUUGCUCUUACGGGUGGCGAGUGGCGGACGGGUGAGGAAUACAUCGGAAUCUACUUUUUCAUGGGGGAUAACGUAGGGAAACUUACGCUAAUACCGCAUACGACCUACGGGUGAAAGCAGGGGAUCUUCGGACCUUGCGCGAUUGAAUGAGCCGAUGUCGGAUUAGCUAGUUGGCGGGGUAAAGGCCCACCAAGGCGACGAUCCGUAGCUGGUCUGAGAGGAUGAUCAGCCACACUGGAACUGAGACACGGUCCAGACUCCUACGGGAGGCAGCAGUGGGGAAUAUUGGACAAUGGGCGCAAGCCUGAUCCAGCCAUACCGCGUGGGUGAAGAAGGCCUUCGGGUUGUAAAGCCCUUUUGUUGGGAAAGAAAAGCAGCAGGUUAAUACCCCGCUGUUCUGACGGUACCCAAAGAAUAAGCACCGGCUAACUUCG